rnacentral:rRNA from 1 species
GGGUUGUAAACCCCUUUUCUCUGGGAAGAAGCUCUGACGGUACCUGAUGAAUCAGCCUCGGCUAACUCCGUGCCAGCAGCCGCGGUAAUACGGAGGAGGCAAGCGUUAUCCGGAAUUAUUGGGCGUAAAGCGUCCGUAGGUGGCUAUACGAGUCUGUUGUUAAAGAGUGGAGCUUAACUCCAUAUGGGCGAUUGAAACUGUAUAGCUAGAGCGUGGUAGGGGUAAGGGGAAUUCCCAGUGUAGCGGUGAAAUGCGUAGAUAUUGGGAAGAACACCGGUGGCGAAAGCGC